rnacentral:lncRNA from 10 species
GAGGACACAUUACAGAUGACGUUCAGGGACUGGGGAAGAAGGGAAAAAAGCAAGAAAUGUUGAGUUCAAGAUGUCUGUGAAGAUCCAAAUGGCUAUGUCUACCUGCCAGAUGGGAUGUAUAAAUUAGUCAGGGCUAGAGACAUAGAUUUGAAUAAUCAGAUUUGAAACACCCUUGUAAGGGUAGUUCAGACUCAAAAGUAUAUAAGAUGCCCUAGGAAAAUAUGUAGAGAAAGAACAAUAGGACAAGGAUGAAAUCCUGGAGAAUACCAAUUAUCACAGAGGUGGAAAGAGAAGGAAUAUAGAGACAUUUGUGAAAGAGCAAUUAUAAAUAUAUGAUAGAGACUGCCAGUGUCCAUUAAUAUUGGUGUGCCUCUCUUCUUCCAUAAAAGUACUGCUAAACUACAUAUCUCAGCCUUUGCAGUUAGGUAAAGCCAUUUGAAAAUAUUUUGUCCAAAGAUCUAUGGGCAGAAGUAAUAUAUGCACUUCUAGGCCUGGUUUCUGAAACUUCUUCCAUGAUCCUCUGUGCUGUCUCAUUUUUCAUGGAAGACUUGGAAGCCACAAACUGAGGAAGCCAAGUCUCUGAAUGUCUCUAAGGAGCUGCACUUAGGACAGACACUGUAGUAAAUAUCAAUAUUUUGUGUCAGAGGUCUAAACCCUGAAAAACCUACAUGGUUUGCACCACAAAAAAAAAA